rnacentral:rRNA from 1 species
UACAGGGGGGGCAAGCGUUGUUCGGAAUUACUGGGCGUAAAGGGUUCGUAGGUGGCCAACUAAGUCAGACGUGAAAUCCCUCAGCUUAACUGGGGAACUGCGUCUGAUACUGGAUGGCUUGAGUGUAGGAGAGGAAUGCGGAAUUCCAGGUGUAGCGGUGAAAUGCGUAGAUAUCUGGAGGAACACCGGUGGCGAAGGCGGCAUUCUGGACUACAACUGACACUGAGGAACGAAAGCCAGGGAGCAAACGGGAG